UACCCGCAGCUCAAGUGGUGGUCAUUAUUAUUGGGCCUAAAGCGUCCGUAGCUGGCGUGUUAGAUGCCUGGGUAAAUCGAUGCGCUCAACGUAUCGAAUUCCGGGUAGACCGGCACGCUCGAGACCGGGAGAGGUGUAGGCUACUCGCGGGGUAAGGGUAAAAUCCUGUAAUCCUGCGGGGAGGACCAGUGGCGAAGGCGCUAUAUUAGAACGGCUCUGACAGUGAGGGACGAAGCCCUGGGGCGCAAACCGG
rnacentral:rRNA from 1 species